AUGCUCUGGUUUUUCUUCAUAUUGCAUAAAUCUUUUGCCUUUUACUAAAGAUUUUUGUGGAGAGGAGCAUUGAAGAGUUUUUACUCAUUUUUUUGAGGCUUUGCUUUGUUGAAGCU